rnacentral:rRNA from 1 species
CUUUGAUUCUGGCUCAGGAUAAACGCUGGCGGCGCACAUAAGACAUGCAAGUCGAACGAACUUAACCAUUAGUUUACUAUUGGAGCGGUUAGUGGCGGACUGGUGAGUAACACGUAAGCAACCUGCCUAUCAGAGGGGAACAACAGUUAGAAAUGACUGCUAAUACCGCAUAUGCCUUGAGUAUCACAUGGUACAAAAGGGAAAGGAGCAAUCCGCUGAUAGAUGGGCUUGCGUCUGAUUAGAUAGUUGGUGAGGUAACGGCCCACCAAGUCGACGAUCAGUAGCCGGACUGAGAGGUUGAACGGCCACAUUGGGACUGAGAUACGGCCCAGACUCCUACGGGAGGCAGCAGUCGGGAAUAUUGCGCAAUGGAGGAAACUCUGACGCAGUGACGCCGCGUGCAGGAAGAAGGUUUUCGGAUUGUAAACUGCUUUAGACAGGGAAGAAACAAGACAGUACCUGUAGAAUAAGCUCCGGCUAACUACGUGCCAGCAGCCGCGGUAAUACGUAGGGAGCAAGCGUUAUCCGGAUUUAUUGGGUGUAAAGGGUGCGUAGACGGGAAAUUAA